AUUUUUUCAACCUUUUUCUUCUUCUUUGAGUCAGUUCAGGCAGUCCCCCUGCUGACAGCACUAUGGACAUUUAUUGCGACCAUGUGACCGCUCUUUCAGAGCAAUCACAUGGCCCCUGGAGUACUUUUUUGCAGAGGGGGGAAUGUCUGGGCUGUCAGACAGUCCCCGCAUAAAAGAAGAACACCGAUCACCAGCGGGGGAACGGCUGCGAUUGCAAAAGUACAUCAGAGAGGGAGAGAAGGAGAGGGAG